ACCCUCAGGUAUUUAAAUACACGCGAGACUUUUUAUCAACGUGCAGAUAAUAUUUCGUUUAAAAAUAGUCGUUCUGUACAACUCGCAUGCGUGUUAUACGGAAUUACUUUUAUAACUCGUGUAAUAUAGUUUGCCGUACAAAUAAACGUUUUAUAUUUCGCGGGGUAGAAUGCCCGAAAGAUCGCUCGGUCUAUAAUGUAAUCGCCACUAAAACCUCC